ensembl:snoRNA
ACCCCCAGUAAUAGACAAAGAGACAUCUCAUUGGUGGUGUUGUUCUUGUAUCAGUCAGAGGUAGAACAGAUGACAGUCCUUUGUUCAUCCUAGCUUGAUGCCUGGGUUGGUGGCCAAAGCUGUUUCAUGCCUGGGGUGCAUAG